UGAGGAAUAUUGCGCAAUGGGGGAAACCCUGACGCAGCGACGCCGCGUGGGUGAUGAAGGCCUUCGGGUUGUAAAGCCCUGUCAGGUGGGAAGAAGUGCAUAGUGGCUAAUAUCCAUUAUGUUUGACGGUACCACCAAAGGAAGCACCGGCUAACUCCGUGCCAGCAGCCGCGGUAAUACGGAGGGUGCAAGCGUUGUUCGGAUUUACUGGGCGUAAAGGGCGCGUAGGCGGUCUUAUAAGCCAGAUGUGAAAGCCCACGGCUCAACCGUGGAAGUGCAUCUGGAACUGUGAGACUUGAGUAUGGGAGAGGAAAGUGGAAUUCCCGGUGUAGAGGUGAAAUUCGUAGAUAUCGGGAGGAAUACCGGUGGCGAAGGCGACUUUCUGGACCAAUACUGACGCUGAGGCGCGAAAGCGUGGGUAGCAAACAGG
rnacentral:rRNA from 1 species